rnacentral:lncRNA from 1 species
UGAGUCGGAGGUGGACUCACAUGCUAGGACUUGCCGGAAAUGGCCAUAAAAACUCAAAUCGGAGGACGUCUGAACCGGGGAUCUUCAAGGUCAGGCCUUGGAUCUUUGAAUAAAGAGAGGAUAAGGGUGAGUGUGGGUGGAUAUGGGUUGCACAGGGCUUGGGAAGCCAUAGUUUCCGGUAAAACAAGGUCGAAAAUUGGUCGGAGAAGGCUAGGGUUUCAGAGGGUGGUUGAGAGCAUUUGGGAGGCAUAAG